CUGGUCCCCGGCGGCCACGCCCACCGGCCCGAACUGGGAUCGUGGGGGUCGCAGGGAACGUGUAUGGCGAGGAUGUGCUGGCGCGGCCCGGGAACAGCUUUCCUUUCGGGACCCCUGGAUCCAGACCAGCUCAACUACAGCUAUGAAAACAGACCCGUGUCCCCCAGAAUUUUUAACCCGUCCUUAAGCUGUGGUCGUGCCUGGGCAACUCAGGACCCUAUAUCCAAGGAGAGUGGUGGGGGACCAUUUUCAAAACCAAGCGGAGGAAACGGCGGCCAAUUAAAAUGACAUAUUUUUAUUUGCCUCGCACGUUGUCAGUGAUUUGCCCCCGGGGAUCCACAAUUUUCCCAAGCCUGUUAACGGGUGACGAUGAAUGAGUGCCUCGUGUAAUUUAAUUUUCCUGUCACACUAAAUAGAGCUACAUUGUAAACCUUAGAUCUACUCUUACUGAUAGGAUCGCCUUGUUUUGCCAUUUGCACCAUAAAGACCCCCAAAAGGGACACUGUAUUGUGACCUCUACUCUUGAAUUAUUCAAGAACUUAAUGACAUUUUCCAUUUUAAAAAGGGGAACUAAUUGCCAUUGAUGUAAAGCAUGUGACCUUCUCUGGGUGCCCAGUAUGAGAAUGUAGCCAUCUGUAUUCGGACCCCAGAGCUGGGAAACUGCAGGAUGCUGGCAAAAUAGGAGAAAGAUGUGAACAGAAAUGAGCUUCAGAUGGACACUGGAUUCAAACAUAUUGUUCAGUUUCACCCCAAACCAUGACUUAGACUUCUGCAAAAUCCUCUAAUCCAACCUAAAAUUUGUAUCAAAAAAACCUAUCAACUCAGGCCUGUUUUUUGGGCAUGACAUGACUUUUUAGCUAUGACAGGAACAGUAAAAAUUGUAAAAUCCACUAGUCCUUCAUUAAUGUUAAAUACUUUGUGUAAUAUCAAGCAAAAUAUAUAAUCAUCUACUCCCCUCCUCCCGUUCUUUCUUUUGGCAAUGAAACAACUGUAAAGAAAUUGAACCCUGAUAUUUGCUAUUUGAAAAUCAGUCUUGAGUUUCUAGGAAAGCCAGUGCUGAAAUUCUUCAGUAUCAGAAUUCUCACUUUUCAAAUUACUUGAAAAUGGAGGCUUAUCUUUCCUCAAAGUAAAAAGAGUUCUGGUGUAUUCUCUACUUGUCUUUCACUCUUUCCCCAGCCCCCAGAGGAAAGAAAAGUAAGAGAAAAUGAGAGAAAACUUCUACCAAUGUUGUCUGGCUUCAAAAAUUCACAGAUGAGUGGAUGAAGAUGAUCUGAUGGUUUCCCUGAUUCAUCUAAGUCCACUGCCAGGAUUAACUGUGAUAAAGUCUGAGUGGGUUGGGAGGUAAAAUACUUUCCCGUGUUGGGCUGCAGAUAUUUCUUUUGAACUUUUUAAAGUGAUGCCUGAGACAAGGAACUGUCAUUUCUGCAUCGAGUGGGCAGUUCUUUUUAAAACGACACCGAAUGGACAGAAUUCUGGCUUCACAGAGAUGAAAUAGCCUCUGCAUGAGGCUGCAAAUCCACAUCUUUCUCUUGUAGCAUCAUUGGAAAAGAAUAUGAGGUGCGUUUGAACAUUUAACUUGGUUCUAAUGAAGCCCACAUUACGUCAACAAGCUGGACGGGAUCACUGCUGGGGCCAGCCAGAAGUCAGGAUAGAAUGCCCAGCCCUUCAUCUGUACAGGGGUGUGUGUGCUUAAUCUCUCAGUAGUGUCCGCCUCUUUGAGACUCCGUGACUGUAGCUUGACAGGCCUGUCCGUGAGAUUCUCCAGACAAGAACACUGGAGUGUGUCGCUGUGCCCUCCUCUGUACAGGAGUAGUGUUGUUUUAAAGGAGUUUGUUAUAAGGCUGUUGUUGCCCAAAUCAUAUAACAGAGCAACUGUUUUCGUAUUUCUUUAAAAGAAACCCGUUUCCCUCCUUUCCUUCGGAUCAUGCUUUCUUUGUGUACAACAUGGCAGAAAAAAAUUGUAUAAGGACACAUAGUUCUUAUUGUCAGAUAAUAAGGACAUACUUAAGAAAUAUGUUUGAAACCGUCACAAUAUUAUCGAGUAAUUAUCUCCCAGUUACAAAUAAAAUUAAAUUUAAGAAAAGAAAACAUUUCAAGUCAAGAAAACAUAUGGAGUGUCAAUCCAUCUUCUUGAAUAUUUCCUGUGAUAAAGACAACACUUUCUGGGUCAGAUGUUAAUUUAAUUAUAGAGAUUUUUCAUUUGGUUCUCAACAUUUAAAAAUGUUUCCAACAACCUGCUGUAGACUAUGUGACACACAAGAAAUUAUACAUGUCUCUCUAGCACUGUGUAGUGUCAUAAUCCAGUAAUUUUUUCAUGGUGACAGUAGGCACUAGAAAUGAAAAUUUCAUUCACUUUUCAAACUGUCACCAUGGAUAAGUUAUAGUUAUUUUUCUUCUCAUUUCAAAAAGCAACCCUCUUGCUCUGGGAUCACUUGAAGUACAUUUUAAGUGCUGUGGAAAAGUUUGUGGCAUCUUUAGGGCAUGGCAAAUCCCUCUCCUGGCCUCAUUUUUGGGUCUCACCGCCUUCUGAAUGGAUUUCUGUGUUGAUAACUCAUAGAGCCUGGAGGGAGGGAUUCUAUCUUGACUGCACUCAAAUGGAAGGUGCUACAGGGAUAUGCAAGAGAUUCUGAUUUAGGGCCAUGUUUCAUCCAGUUCCCAUCAUCAGUUUUCCCCUGCCCUCCAAAACAGAAGGCAGGAAGAAAGAGAAAAGAAAACAAAAAACAACGUUGAAACAUAUUCCCUUUUGGCCAUUCUUGAAAAGGUAAGUACCUCAUCCACAGGGCAGGAAGCCAUUGUAGUGUUUCAUUUGGAAAUGGGCUCUUUAUUUCUCCAUCAAGCCUGGUGGGAAGGGCUGCACUGGGCCUUUGCGUUUGUAUCUGUUGGUUUGGGUGGAGUUCAAGAGAUAACCAAGAGAUCACUUUGGUUCUUUGUCAAGAUGCUGUAUGCUCACUGAAAGGGAAGAAUGAGACAAUUAUUGAGGGGCAAAGUGAGUUAACUUGGGAUACCUAGGCAGAUAAAUAUAAUCAGGCCAGCUUGUGCUUUUUCACAUAAAAUGUCUUCAGUUUCCUAGGUUCCAGAGGGGUUGAGCAGCAGCUGGGGGCUGGGGGCUCAUCCUCCUCUGUUAACUGACCCCCAAGAAGACCAAGAGGGGCGUGUGUUCACCCUCUGCCUGAAUUUGGUUACAUCCUUCAUCUCCUUUACAUAUUUUAACUGCUUGAUAUAUGUGUGUUUUUUUUUUUUUUUUUUCAGUGUCAGCAUUAGAGACAUUUGAUGCUAACUUUCUAUCUGGUUCCAUUUAUCUGAAUGUGUCCACCCAAAUACAUUUACUGGACUUCUGACUGUCCAUUUUUCUUUCCUGGGGAAUGACAAUAAACCAGGAUACCACUGACACGAUGGCUAAAAAUACCUUUGGAAAAACUCAGUUUCUUCUGCUUAGCCAAUACUUGUUUCGUAAACAGGGAUUGCAGCUUGCAUCUGGGUCAGGACCCUGCUUAUGCCAGGAGACAGCUAUGCAGGAUCCGUAAAUGUGCCUUUUGGUGUAGAAACACCCUGCUCUAUACGUCCACUUUCUUCUGGGAGGUUGUGGGGGGUGGGAGUUACAAAACUCCUACAGGAUUUUUCACCUGGUGGGUGAAGCUCACAUGUUACCAGUAUAGCUUCUCCAGGAUGCAGAUUAAAUGUGUGGCUCAUGGAGUAAUUAAACUGUGGACAAAACAUGCCUUGAGUUCAUGGAGGCUGAAUACUCUGGACAUAAAAGCCACCAACUUUGUAAUGAAAAUAUAGGAACUUUUCAAAAUAGGCCAUCAAGAUGUGGUUUACUUUUCAAACAAGAUUCUAACGACGGCCUAACCCUCUUUGACUGUAUUCUUCUGUUUUCUGUAGAUUUGCUUAUUCACAGAUACUGGGACAAAAAGAUGGGAUGGAGGGAGGAUGCUUGUGCUCCUAAGAAGCACACAGGCUUCUCCCAGUGCUGAACUCUGACCUUCACAGGAGAAUCCCUAAAAGUCCAUAACCCUGCAGUCAGCCUCCUCCUGGGGACCUUACCCCAUAGUUCCCCAUGAAGGUCUGGGGAGUGAGGUGGGUUCUGGACAUGAAUAUGAGCUCUCAGCACCAGGGAAGCAAUGCAUGAAAAUCAUGAUUUACAGACUUGGGCCAAACUACCAGACCAACAACUGCCAGAACUAGUCAGCACCAAGAUACAAAAACAUAAAACAUUAAAGUUGCCCAAGUAGAAACUUAACCUCCCCAAAGUUACUGAAGCUUCUGAUGAAUGAAGAACGAUGAGCAGCAAGUUGUCUAAGUCCUUGGCCGAAGGCAUCAUUACUUCUCAAUGACCAGAUAAAGUCCAUGAGCUCAGAGUGAUUGUUUGGGGGCAAAAAUGGUCCAGGACCCAUCCCUUGAGGAUUUCUUUGCUGGCCAAUAAAGCAUGGGCAAUUGGCCACUGCCUCACGGAAGGGGCAAGAGUGGCCAGCCUGGAAACAAGCCCCAUGAGCUCCCCCCAGGCGGGUGCCUGUGCCCCAAGGAGCCCAGAACCUGAUUGGCACACGCCUCGAUGCCUCUGCCAUCUGCCCAGCACCACACACACUUGCAGUGCUGACGAGGACACAUCCCCAGAGGGAGGCUGGCCAGGACCCAGGCAAGACCAGUGUGGACAGGGCUGUACCGCCCUUAACUCCAUUUCUAGGUAUUAGGGUAAAGAAAGCCCCCCCCAACCCCCGCAAAAAGGAUGGAACUCAACUUCUUUUUUGAAGACUGAGGGUCCCUCACAAGCUUCAGGGGGGUUUUCUAACAUAGUGUUAUUUUUUCAGCGUGCUUUGUCUCUGUGGAGAGGCUUCAGAAGGCCCUUGAAGUCCUCAGCCUUAAAUCCGUGUUAAUAGGGGAAGUCUCUUCUCUCUCUCUCUUUUUUUUUUGGUGGUGGGGAGGUUUGACUGGGAGCAGCGCUGACCCAGCCGGCACUCGGGCAGACCCACUAUCAUCGGCAGGGCACUUAUUAACCAGCGCUCAUUUGCAGGAUCAAUAUUUCCAGAAAAAGAGUUCACACUGCAGAUACACCACUAUGUCUCAUUUUUUUUUCCCUUGACAGACGAUUUAUUUUAUAAAUAAAUCUGCUGGAGAAGAAAAGGCUGUCCGAAGGACUGUGUCUUUUAUCUCUGGGAUAUGCAAAGCACAUUUAUUUUCAGCUUUUAUCUCCGGAAUUGUAUGCUGAUCCCAUACAUAUAGAUUGAUUUUGUUCAGGUAGAUAAUGAAAAGUCAAGUGGAAAAUUACACAAUGGCACUCGCGAUCCUGGUCUUAUAUUGGUAUAUAAAUUGGUUUAUUAUUUCAUUCUAUUAAAGAGGCUUUUUUUUUUUUUUUUGGUACCAGGAAAACUUCAAAAUACAUCAAGUUGUCAGCCUCACUGAAUUUUCUUUUGGGGGAGGAAGAGAGGAGGGGGUAGGGGGAGGUAAUUUCUCUGGCUGCUUCUGUUAAUUGUAUGAGCUAAAUGAGCUUGUACUGGGCCACUUCGAAGUCACUCAUGCAGUUUCUGUAACUCUGGGACAUUCCUGGGGCCAGGACAAAGAUAACCAUCACACAUGUCCUGAUACACAGGUGGAUAUUUUUUCACUCCAGGCAUUUCUAAAUUUUGUCACGAUGACGGGAAAAGAGGCAAGCCACUCUCCCAUUGACUGCACCACCACCCCCAGCACCAAGAGGCCAGGGGGUUGAAGGUGGCAGCCAGAUAAAGGCCACCACCAAGGGACAGCUUGGAGCCAGAAUCCUGAAGGAAACGUUAUUAAUAAACAUCUCCUGGACAUUUGGUAGCCCGUGGAGUCUGCUCCAGCUUAAAGCAAUUAAUUCAGGACACUGACAUAAACUCUCCAGGUCUUUGACAGCUUGGAGCCGAAAUAAAAAUGCUAGUUCUCCGGGGAAGAGAAGGGGAUGGCUAGCUCUUUUCUGGACUGUUUGCUUAUAGGCCCAGAGAGCAACCUUCCUUGCCGAAUGAAAUGCAAGGGCACAAACAAUGUACCAGGGAGAGAAUGGGAGAUGGGAAUGAACAGUUUGAACUAUUUGCUCAGCAGAAGGGCACCACAAUGCGGGGCUGGUGGCUUUCCCAUGCAGCCACCAUCCCUUCUUUGCGGUCUUUUGUUGUGGCCUGGCUCCUUUGGCCAGAUAAGAGCACAGCUGCAGCCUUGCAGCUAAGUAAGGCUGCACUCAUCCCCCUAAAUCUCGGGGUGUCUUUACUGUAACGGGUGAGGCGUGGCUGUCUUUUCUUUCACAGGGGACAGUGAGGGAGGGAAGGGCAGAAUGGAGCGGGGGACUGUGACUUGCCAGGCCGGCAUCCGAAUUCCUGAGUUUUUUCUUUCUUUCUGAAAUCCAAGCUGUGAUCAGGCAGGAUCUUUGUGGAGUAUUUCAAUGGAAGGGUUCAGUGACUUGUAUUGGUUACCAAGCCAAAAUGUUGCCUUUGGGGGAACGGAAGGGGAGGAGGUGAGUGUGUAAAAUUGGGAAGGGGAAGGGAGGCAAAAUCUUUGGUUUAAACACUCACACUCCUACAGCUACUGAAAAGAAGGGGAAGUUUUGAAUUAGCCAUUUUGAAACUGUUCAAUGAUGAUUUUGUCACUUCUGAAAAUCAUUUUGGACUCAUCCUUUUCACAGUUAAUCUGUUCAGAGUCCUAGUGAAUAGAGGUUGCCGGAAGCAGAGUGAGAACAGAAUGAGCUGUGAUGGGACAUAAAACAUGUUUGUAAUUUCUGUAAAUUACUCCUUUAAUCAAAGCAAAUGUCUCCUAAGAUAUGAUUGAAAUGUUCUUUCCCAUUUGCUCUUUUAAAGUCAGAGCCUAUUUUAAAUGCCAUAAGAGAAAGUAGAUGUGAUAAUAAUAUAAAAAUAAGCAUAAAGUAUGGUUUACAUUAGGUUGGUUUUAAAGUUAAGAUCUGCCUCAUCUGUGUGUUCAAACUCGGUGGGUUUUGCCAUGGACGUUGGUUUGGGAGCUGGGCGACAAGGCUGCAUUCUAUUCUAAUAAGGUUUUUUUAGCUUGAAAGGCUUUAUAAGGUGAAAAGGCAAAAAGUUUAACUCCAAAGAAAAUGAAUAGUUUACUAAAAUUGCACAAAAUGUUCUCAGACCAGAAAGCCACCUGCAGGAAAUACGAAGUUUCAAUGCUGUUUGUGUGUGUGUGUUUUUUUUUUUCACACUGACAAAAACCCACAGGAAAAAACCCCGCUGUGGAUUUUUCCUGCUGAAUUGUCAGACGGGAAGGCCAUGAAACCAAAGGCUGUCCAUUGAGAUGCAGCUCCCGAAGACCGACCUCACGGGCGGCCCCGCAGGAAACAAAGCUGUGUGUCUACGCCGGGACCCCUCGCGCCAGCCCCACGGCCAUGGCCAGGGCCAUGCAGGAUAGGGUGACCCUGCCCACCCACGUGCUCAGCGACUGCCCACUUUGCUCAGGAUAUGCUGUGGGAGGCCUUUGUCCAGUAGAGCUGCGAAGUAGUUUUAACACCAAGGAGAUCAAAGUUAGUGAAAAGGGUUUGUGUGUGUGUGUAUGUGUAUGUGUGUGUGUGUUCCAGCCUGUGUGCAAUGCAGGGAAAGGGGAUGGACAACAGGGAUGUGUUCUUUUAGGUAUUUGCACAUUUGAUGGCCCCAGCGAAAGACCAAAA